rnacentral:rRNA from 1 species
GGGGGGGGCGGGGGGGGGGGGGGAGGGAGGGGGGGCGAGGGGGAGCGGCAUUGAGUGGUGGCACUCGGGGGACGUCGACCGGCGCACGGGGGAGGAGCGCGUAGCCGACCUGCCCAUUACUGUGGGAUAGCCUGCCGCAAGGCAGACUAAUACCGCAUAGUCUUCGGUGACGGCAGCGGAUUGUAAGUGAGGAUUUCUCGGUAAUGGAUGGGGCUGCGUCUGAUUAGCUGGUUGGCGGGGUAACGGCCCACCAAGGCUACGAUCAGUAGGGGUUCUGCGAGGAAGGUCCCCCACAUUGGGACUGAGACACGGUCCAAACUCCUACGGGAGGAAGCAGUGAGGAAUAUUGGUCAAUGGACGGAAGUAUGAACCAGCCAAGUAGCGUGCAGGAUGACGGCCCUAUGGGUUGUAAACUGCUUUUGUAUGGGGAUAAAGUUAGGGACGUGUCCCUAUUUGCAGGUACCAUACGAAUAAGGACCGGCUAAUUCCGUG